CUAAGUGCUCUUAUUUCAGUUCAGGUUUGAGGUGAGCCAGAGAUUUCCUGGCAGCAUCAGUCACAAAACAAACCCAUGACAAGAUGCUAAGACCAUAUCCACAAUCACAGCUCUUGAAUUUAGAUUUGCCAGUUGACCUAACCGUUAGGAUAUGGGAGAAAGAAGAAGUGCCUGGAGAAAAUCCAUGCAGACAUAGAGAGCCAGUAUUUGAGGGGAUUUGAACAGAAGACUUUAAAGAUUUGAGUAUCUGCCCACUACUCCCAAGAAGGUCUUGCCCCUUCUGGUUCAAAUGCCAUUAAACUGGGUUGCUCCUGGAAGCUGGCAUCAAAUCGUGACCCAACAACCAAAACAGACAGAACUCCCAUGACUCAAACGGCGACUUAAGGCACUUCACUUCAAGAUAAACACUGAGAACCUUCUUUUUG